rnacentral:rRNA from 1 species
AAACCAUGCACCGAAGCUGCGGCAGCGACGCUUAUGCGUUGUUGGGUAGGGGAGCGUUCUGUAAGCCUGCGAAGGUGGCCUGUGAGGGUUGCUGGAGGUAUCAGAAGUGCGAAUGCUGACAUAAGUAACGAUAAAGCGGGUGAAAAGCCCGCUCGCCGGAAGACCAAGGGUUCCUGUCCAACGUUAAUCGGGGCAGGGUGAGUCGACCCCUAAGGCGAGGCCGAAAGGCGUAGUCGAUGGGAAACGGGUUAAUAUUCCCGUACUUGGUGUUACUGCGAAGGGGGGACGGAGAAGGCUAUGUUGGCCGGGCGACGGUUGUCCCGGUUUAAGCGUGUAGGUGUGUGUUCCAGGUAAAUCCGGUUCACUUUAACACUGAGGCGUGACGACGAGGCACUACGGUGCUGAAGCAACAAAUGCCCUGCUUCCAGGAAAAGCCUCUAAGCAUCAGGUAACAUCAAAUCGUACCCCAAACCGACACAGGUGGUCAGGUAGAGAAUACCAAGGCGCUUGAGAGAACUCGGGUGAAGGAACUAGGCAAAAUGGUGCCGUAACUUCGGGAGAAGGCACGCUGACACGUAGGUGAAGUGAUUUACUCAUGGAGCUGAAGUCAGUCGAAGAUACCAGCUGGCUGCAACUGUUUAUUAAAAACACAGCACUGUGCAAACACGAAAGUGGACGUAUACGGUGUGACGCCUGCCCGGUGCCGGAAGGUUAAUUGAUGGGGUCAGCGCAAGCGAAGCUCCUGAUCGAAGCCCCGGUAAACGGCGGCCGUAACUAUAACGGUCCUAAGGUAGCGAAAUUCCUUGUCGGGUAAGUUCCGACCUGCACGAAUGGCGUAAUGAUGGCCAGGCUGUCUCCACCCGAGACUCAGUGAAAUUGAACUCGCUGUGAAGAUGCAGUGUACCCGCGGCAAGACGGAAAGACCCCGUGAACCUUUACUAUAGCUUGACACUGAACAUUGAGCCUUGAUGUGUAGGAUAGGUGGGAGGCUUUGAAGCGUGGACGCCAGUCUGCGUGGAGCCGACCUUGAAAUACCACCCUUUAAUGUUUGAUGUUCUAACGUGGACCCGUUACCCGGGUUGCGGACAGUGUCUGGUGGGUAGUUUGACUGGGGCGGUCUCCUCCUAAAGAGUAACGGAGGAGCACGAAGGUUGGCUAAUCCUGGUCGGACAUCAGGAGGUUAGUGCAAUGGCAUAAGCCAGCUUGACUGCGAGCGUGACGGCGCGAGCAGGUGCGAAAGCAGGUCAUAGUGAUCCGGUGGUUCUGAAUGGAAGGGCCAUCGCUCAACGGAUAAAAGGUACUCCGGGGAUAACAGGCUGAUACCGCCCAAGAGUUCAUAUCGACGGCGGUGUUUGGCACCUCGAUGUCGGCUCAUCACAUCCUGGGGCUGAAGUAGGUCCCAAGGGUAUGGCUGUUCGCCAUUUAAAGUGGUACGCGAGCUGGGUUUAGAACGUCGUGAGACAGUUCGGUCCCUAUCUGCCGUGGGCGCUGGAGAACUGAGGGGGGCUGCUCCUAGUACGAGAGGACCGGAGUGGACGCAUCACUGGUGUUCGGGUUGUCAUGCCAAUGGCACUGCCCGGUAGCUAAAUGCGGAAGAGAUAAGUGCUGAAAGCAUCUAAGCACGAAACUUGCCCCGA